rnacentral:lncRNA from 10 species
CAGGCUUCGCGCCUCUGGAUGGACCUGCGCCGGUCCGGGGCGGGAAAGGAGCAGCAUCCGGGCUCUUCCCUGGUUCGCGCUCAGAGCCCAUCUUGGGCCUGAGCGUUUCCCGGCCCGCGUCGGUGGGUGGUUUCGGAGGGAAGGGAAAGUGAGUCCGGACAGGUCCCCGAGGCUGCGAAGAGCUCCGCUUUGUCUCGGGGGACAAUGAGGCCUCGCGUUUCUUUCUGCCAGCGUCGCCCAGCUUCGAGGGCUCCUGAGGCGCGGUCUGAGCUGCCCCGGGCCGCCACCUGACUCUCCCGAAGAGGGCUUCGGGACCCAACACUUCCUCAGAGAAGGAAACCCAGGUGAAGAAACUGAGGCCCAGAAGGGUGUUAG